rnacentral:rRNA from 1 species
UACGUAGGGAGCAAGCGUUGUCCGGAAUCAUUGGGCGUAAAGCGCGCGUAGGCGGCCCUGUAAGUCCGUUGUGAAAGUCAAAGGCUCAACCUUUGAAAGCCGAUGGAUACUGCAGGGCUAGAGUCCGGAAGAGGCGAGUGGAAUUCCUGGUGUAGCGGUGGAAUGCGCAGAUAUCAGGAGGAACACCAAUAGCGAAGGCAGCUCGCUGGGACGGUACUGACGCUAAGGCGCGAAAGCAUGGGGAGCAAACAGG